AUCUCUAUUUCGUAAAUGUACUCAUUAGCAACACGAGAAAACUUGUAGAGCGCCAUGAAAACUUUGGCUAUAUUGGUAUUCUUGAUGGUGGCAGCAUAUGCAGUGACAGCCUCGCCUCACGAUCGUGAGCGCAAGGAACGCGGUGAAUCUGAGUUCGGAAGGCACCAUGGCAGGCACCACGGACACCACCACCGUUUUAAUCACACCAGGAGUGGAAAUGAAACGUCCUCUACGGCGCAGCCCCAAGUGACGACUGUGAGCGCCGAAGAAACCACAAAUUCAACAACUCAGGACAAUGCAAAUGGAACGGUC
rnacentral:lncRNA from 1 species